rnacentral:rRNA from 1 species
GCGGCGGAAAAGAAACUAACAAGGAUUCCCCUAGUAACUGCGAGUGAAGCGGGAAAAGCUCAAAUUUAAAAUCUGGCGGUCUUCGAUCGUCCGAGUUGUAGUCUGGAGAAGUGUCUUCCGCGCUGGCCCGUGUACAAGUCUCUUGGAACAGAGCGUCAUAGAGGGUGAGAAUCCCGUCUUUGACACGGACUACCAGUGCUUUGUGAUGCGCUCUCAAAGAGUCGAGUUGUUUGGGAAUGCAGCUCAAAAUGGGUGGUAAAUUCCAUCUAAAGCUAAAUAUUGGCGAGAGACCGAUAGCGAACAAGUACCGUGAGGGAAAGAUGAAAAGCACUUUGGAAAGAGAGUUAAACAGUACGUGAAAUUGCUGAAAGGGAAACGCUUGAAGUCAGUCGCGUCGUCUAGAAAUCAACCUGGCUUUCGCUUGGUGCACUUUCUAGUUGACGGGCCAGCAUCAGUUUUGACCGUUGGAGAAAGGCCUUUGGAAUGUGGCACCUUCGGGUGUGUUAUAGCCUUGGGUCGUAUACAACGGUUGGGACUGAGGUUCGCAGCACGCCUUUUGGCCGGGGUUCGCCCACGUACGUGCUUAGGAUGC